AUUGAACGCUGGCGGCAGGCCUAACACAUGCAAGUCGAACGAGUGGCGGACGGGUGAGCAAUGUCUGGGAAACUGCAUGAUGGAGGGGGAUAACUACUGGAAACGGUAGCUAAUACCGCAUACCAUCAGAUGUGCCCAGAUUGGAUUAGCUAGUUGGUGGGGUAAAGGAUCACCAAGGCCACGAUCCCUAGCUGGUCUAAGAGGAUGACCAGCCACACUGAAGCUGAGACACGGUCAAGACUCCUACGGGAGGCAGCAGUGGGGAAUAUUGCACAAUGGGCGCAAGCCUGAUGCAGCCAUGCCGCAUGUAUGAAGAAGGCCUUCGGAUUGUAAAGUACUUUCGGCGGGGAGGCGUUACCCGCAGAAGAAGCACCGGCUAACUCCGUGCCAGCCACCGCGGUAAUAC
rnacentral:rRNA from 1 species